AGAGGAGUUCGCGGCAGAUUAGUUAGUUGGCGGGGUAAUGGCCCACCAAGACGAUGAUCUGUAUCCGGCCUGAGAGGGCGCACGGACACACUGGAACUGAAACACGGUCCAGACUCCUACGGGAGGCAGCAGUGGGGAAUCUUGCGCAAUGGGCGAAAGCCUGACGCAGCAACGCCGCGUGGGGGAUGAAGGCCUUCGGGUUGUAAACCCCUUUCAGUGGGAACGAAAUUGACGGUACCCACAGAAGAAGCCCCGGCCAACUACGUGCCGGCAGCCGCGGUGAUACGUAGGGGGCGAGCGUUGUCCGGAUUUAUUGGGCGUAAAGAGCUCGUAGGCGGCUUGGUAAGUCGGGUGUGAAACCUCCAGGCUCAACCUGGAGACGCCACUCGAUACUGCCCUGGCUAGAGUCCGGUAGGGGAUCACGGAAUUCCUGGUGUAGCGGUGAAAUGCGCAGAUAUCAGGAGGAACACCAGUGGCGAAGGCGGUGAUCUGGGCCGGUACUGACGCUGAGGAGCGAAAGCGUGGGGAGCGAACAGGAUUAGAUACCCU
rnacentral:rRNA from 1 species